rnacentral:snoRNA from 1 species
CUUAGGGAUCAUUUCUAUAGUAAGUGUCGCCAGGACGUCAGGUAAAACUGACGGGACCUAAAGCCACGAGGACGAGAAAUAGCACUCCUUUCUGAGCGCGAAGCGGGCACGGGCUGUCACCCUCUGGGAGACUUGGUCCGUGUCAUUGAUGAACGUUCCUCUCCUCCCUAAGCGGGGAGUUGGAGGAAGGGAGUGCAUUCUGAGUGGU